rnacentral:lncRNA from 1 species
AAAUAUUUGCUCCAUGUUAUGCUGCCGUGAAAUAAAUCGCCGCCAGGCUGAGUGUCCGCGGGAGGAGUCGCAACGCAUGUGGCACGACAACAUUGUCCUAGUCGAUGCCGGGCACACGACGUCGGUGGCCGUGCCUGAAGGCUCGACGACAACGUUAGAGACAAGGCCGGGGACAUCGGCAUGGUAGACGGUGUCGGUAGCCACCCAUGACGCGGUUAGCUGAUGGCCAUUUUUACGAUCACCAUUGAUGAUGAUCCUGUGAGAAGCCAAGAAAUAUGGGAAACGAAUUGUCCUU